rnacentral:lncRNA from 1 species
ACAUUUAUGAAGCUCACUCUGGCUGCUGUUUUGAGAAUGGACUAUGGAGUUUAAGUUAGAGGAAGAGAGAUAGGGAGGAGGUUAUUGGGUUAGGCCAGGUGAGAAAGGAUGGUGGUUCAGAACAGGGCAGUAACCAAGGAAGUGGUGGGUGGUCAGAUACUGCAUAUAUUUGAAGGGAGAACCCAACAGGAACUCUUGACAGACUGGAUGUGAGAUGUGGCAGAGAGAGAAGAUUCAUAGCUAACUCUAAGACUUUUGACCUGAGCAGAUGAAAGGAUGCAGUUACCAUGAAGGCUGCAGAUGAGGCUGUGCAAGCAUGACACCAGCAUCUGCUCC